ACACCCUCACUUGCAUGUUUAAUAAUGUCAUUUGAGACUGCUCUGUAUAAUAUUUCUUAUUGAAGAGGAAAACACUGAUAUGACUACUAUAUACAUUAAAUAGAACUGAGAAAGCCCCCAGAAUCUGUGUGCUUGAACAUGUCCUCAGAAGUUGGCUUGUUUGGUGAUCCUCAAUGAUAGAUCAGUGGUUUUUAUUUUUGGCUUUGAGAUGCUGUUUGUGUAAGAAGUUACAGUGGACCUGAUUGCUGCUGAAAACUAGGAAAGCUUCAGAUGAAUCAUUUUGCUAUUGCUGCUAACUAAAAGUUUGCUUGCAAAAAGCAUCAACCUAUGGAAAGAUGAUUACUUUGAUACAAUCAAGUGCAUGCAGACAUCUACUCUCAGAAGAAAGGUUUGACAUGCAGACUGUUUGGUCAUCAGCAUGAUGAUGUACUGAGAUUGAUCCGACCUGGUCCGCUAAGUCUUGUCAAGUUGUAAACCCAAAUUUGUUUGUAUGAAUCUCAAUAUGAGAUAUCUGACUUAGCUUCCUAAGAUGGGCUGUGAGCUCAAGGAUAUCAAGUUGAGCUCCUUGGGGUGAUCGCUCAGGAUGCUCCUUUGAUUUUGAUGAAUGAUUCAGCUCUGGAGGAGUCCUAGUAGCGGGGGUGUUUCUUGUGAGGU